rnacentral:rRNA from 1 species
UGGGGAAUCUUAGACAAUGGGGGCAACCCUGAUCUAGCCAUGCCGCGUGAGUGAUGAAGGCCUUAGGGUCGUAAAGCUCUUUCGCUGGGGAUGAUAAUGACAGUACCCAGUAAAGAAACCCCGGCUAACUCCGUGCCAGCAGCCGCGGUAAUACGAAGGGGGCGAGCGUUGUUCGGAAUUACUGGGCGUAAGGGAGCGCAGGCGGUUCAUUCAGUUAGGCGUGAAAGCCCCGGGCUCAACCUGGGAACUGCGCUUAAUACUGAUGAGCUAGAGUUCGAGAGAGGUGAGUGGAGUUCCGAGUGUAGAGGUGAAAUUCGUAGAUAUUCGGAGGAACACCAGUGGCGAAGGCGGCUCACUGGCUCGAUACUGACGCUGAGGUGCGAAAGUGUGGGGAGCAAACAGG